GAAAUGCGAUAAGUAAUGUGAAUUGCAGAAUUCAGUGAAUCAUCGAAUCUUUGAACGCACCUUGCGCCCUUUGGUAUUCCAAUGGGCAUGCCUGUUUGAGUGUCAUGAAACUCUCCAACCCAUUAUUUUGUUAAUCAAUUUAGUGUGGAAUGGGACAUUGAACGUUGCAGACUUACCUUUGCUCGUUCGAAAUGCAGUAGCCGAACAAUUUCUUCGUCACUCUUUGACUUAGCAUGAUAAUUAUCUUUGUUAUGUUCUUGAGAUUAAUGGCGUUGAAACGAUUUCAGCUUCUAAUCUGACGUCUCUUUAAGACUCACCUUUUUUUAAUUGACCUCAAAUCAGGUAGGGCUACCCGCUGAACUUAA
rnacentral:misc_RNA from 1 species